rnacentral:rRNA from 1 species
UACGUAGGUGGCAAGCGUUAUCCGGAAUUAUUGGGCGUAAAGCGCGCGCAGGCGGUUUCUUAAGUCUGAUGUGAAAGCCCACGGCUCAACCGUGGAGGGUCAUUGGAAACUGGGGAACUUGAGUGCAGAAGAGAAAAGCGGAAUUCCACGUGUAGCGGUGAAAUGCGUAGAGAUGUGGAGGAACACCAGUGGCGAAGGCGGCUUUUUGGUCUGUAACUGACGCUGAGGCGCGAAAAGCGUGGGGAGCAAACAGA